rnacentral:lncRNA from 1 species
UCCAAUCAAAAUAUUAAAUUCUUCUUUAAUCUUUGCAAUUUAUCGUAAAUAAGAAAAUAAAUAAAACAUUCAUAAAACAAAUACAAACAAAACACACACAUACACUUUUCACUAUUUUUUUGUUUCUUUUCUUCUUUUUUUCUUUUCUUUUACAUCCAUAUUUACAAAACAAAUAAAAAUUCAAAUUAAACAAAUAUUACAUCAAACAAUAAAAAAAAAAAAACAAAACAGUCCCUAAAUAAUCCAAGAAUGACAGGGAAGUCCAUCUGGAACAGCAUGGAGAGUGGCGGCGCGUCCUCCCACGCGCCACCGUCACUGGCGGCGCGUGGGUUCACGCGCCGCCACAGUCACAAACGCAAGGGAUGGGCGGAUCUGGGAUGCUUUCCCCCUCUGCACAGGCGGUGACAAACGCUAUCCCCUGCAACCAAAGAAAUAAAAACCCACAAACAAUCUUUCAAUUUUUUCCUUUUUUUCGAUCUGUUCUCGGUUUGUUUCCCGAGAGUUCUGAUUCCAUCCUUUGUGACAGAUCUUGUUGUUAGGCGUCUUCGGGGUUGAGGGCUGCUGGAUCUCGGCCAGAUCUGUUACACGGGUUUGAGUCGGAGGGGAGCCGGUUGAUGACGGGUUUGUUGGUGGCAGGUUCGGUGUGGUGGACGGUCUGGCCCCUGGUCUGGUCCCUGUCCGGCGUGAGGCUGAGAUCGGGCUAUUGAAGCUACGGUGGAGCUGGCAUGGCCGCUGGUCUGCGGGGGGAGCUGCGAUGGAGAGGAGUUCGUCUCUCGGCCGGCGGCUUGGCUAUCAAAAGGAGAAGGAGAUGACCGGCGGCUGUUUGGAGAAGAAGAAAAUGGUUCCGGUGUUGAAAGAAAAACCAAAAAAACAGAGGAUGGGGGCCGGUGUUGAGAAAAAAACAUUCAAAACCGGGGGGGGGGGAGGCCGGCUUGGUUUCGGGUGACCCAAUAAAAAAUCAAAACUCCGGGGAAGGGGGGGCUGUGUUUGGGAUCUUUUGGAGAGCGGCGGCUGCUGUGUUUUUUUUAGGGUUUUUGUGGUUUAGGAUUUCUUUUUUUGUAUAUUUUUUUUUUUGUGUUUCCCAAAAUUAACCUCCAUGUAUCAAAAUUGUCCCCCCCCUCUUGCAAGUGUUGGAAACCAGUAUUUAUAGGCAAAACUUUUGCUAGGUUUUUCAACUUGGUCCCUCAACUCUUUUUUUUUGUAAAUUUUGAUUUUUCUUAUUUUUUUGUAUUUUUUAAAAACGAGCAAUAUCAACGUCGACUCAAUGAGGAAAAUCAAUUAUUUUAAAAUGGCGCGUGAAAAUUCGAACGCGUUUGAAAAUCUUUUAAAAAAUUAAAUUCUUUUUUAGACGACGUUAAAAAUGCUAAAAUGACGAAAAUAUAUUAAAAAAACAUAUUUUUUGAUUUUCUUUGUUUUUCUCAAUUUUUUGGAUUUUUUUUUAAAAAUAUCAAAAACAUGGGUAAAAAAUUGGGUAGCAACAAAUGCCCCCUCUUUACAAUGCUUACGAAGCGAAAAUCCUCAAAAUUUUGCAUAGUAAGCUUUGUAAAGACAACAAAAGGAAAAUGAUUUCAUUAUCUUGGGCAACCUGCCUACACAUACUCACUCUAGUCUAUUUUCACGGGCGACCGACCCACACUCUCCCAAUAGUCUAUUUUCACGGGCGACCUGCCCACACAUUGGGUUUACCUGAGAUCCCAUCUGGCGACCUCAUUCAACUGGAACGAAAAUAUUGUGUAACUCGGUUAACCUGAAAUCCCAUCUGGCGAUUCCCUUUAACUAAAGCUACAUGAGAUCCCAUCUGGCGACCUCAUUCAAUUGGAACGAAAUAUGCGUAACUCGGUUAACCUGAAAUCCCAUCUGGCGAUUCCCUUUAACCAAAGCUACAUGAGAUCCCAUCUGGCGACCUCAUUCAAUUGGAACGAAAUAUGCGUAACUCGGUUAACCUGAAAUCCCAUCUGGCGAUUCCCUUUAACCAAAGCUACAUGAGAUCCCAUCUAGCGACCUCAUUUAAACAAAAGAAUGUGUGAAAAAUGGUCUCAUUGUAUGGGUGACAAACCCAAGAAAAAAAAUGAUGGUCUCAUUGUAUGGGUGACGAACCCCAGAAAAAUGAUGGUCUCAUUGUAUGGGUGACGAACCCAAGAAAAAUGAUGGUCUCAUUGUAUGGGUGACGAACCCCAGAAAUAUGAUGGUCUCAUUGUAUGGGUGACGAACCCAGAUGGAAAAAAUGUGAAGUGCGAUCUCAUUGUAAUGGGUGACCUACCCACGUGGAAAGAAUAUGAAAAAGUGGUCUUGUUGUGAUGGGCGACCUACCCAAAUAGAAAGAAUGUGAAGUGCGGUCUCAUUGUAAUGGGUGACCUACCCAGAUGGAAAAAAUGUGAAAAACGGUCUUAUUAUGAUGGGCGACCUACCCAGAUGGAAAAAAUGUGAUAUGACAAGUGUGAAAAAUAGGACUUACCUGGCGAAGUUCUGAAGGGAUGACAGAAGAAAGGGCUGGAAAACUUGGUGCUUCCUGAUAAUUCCCGAUCAUAGGGUUUGAAAACUCGGUGUUUCCUGACUGCAAGGGUUGAAAACUCGAGGCUUCCCGAUUGCAAGGUUGAUCUUUCAUUUCUUUGGGAUUUUCCUAAUGGUAGGUUAUCCCGUCUUCUUUUAUUCCAUGAUCAAAACCGAUUCUUUAUUAUCAUCACCACAAUGCUUCUUUCUUUUCCACCAUCUUGCUGGACCUCAUUAAGGUUUUCCUGUAACAAUUCAAAAAUAUGUGCAAAUGGUUUUUUUUUUUUUUUUUUUUUUUGAGGUUAGAUGAUAUGCAUGCAUCCUUACCUGAUUUGAAAUAUAGGUCCCCCCUCUUUGAUGCUCCAUCGUCAUAGGGUGCCCUUGUUUGUAUCCCAAAGCUUUCUUUGUUCUUCCGAUGCAUUGGCUCAUUCAUGUGUUAGCCAUCCACUCAGCUGUAAAUGCAGUGCCCAUCCCGGGCUGUCUUCGACAAUUACUGCUUGCAUCGUUCAUCAAGCUUGACCCUGCCCCCAAGUGGGUACUGCUUGAUUCAUCAUGAGAGAUUUUCUCUCCUGGUUUCUUCUGAGAAAUUAUCCUCUGAUUGAUUGUGUGCAUCAUGCCAACACCCAUCAAGAUUGUUAAUCAGUCAUGAACUUGCCUUCGGUUGAAACACCAUUCAAGUAUGUAUGGUCACCAGCCUUCAUGGAACUGCCAAGUCAUCCAGACAUGGAUCUCAUGCUUUGCAGUAAACAGCUCAUCAUUGUAAGCGCGAUGUAUUUCUCUAUGGAUUCCUCUUAGCUUGUCAAAUCAGAUUGUGAACAUAACUGCUUUGGCAUCAUCAAUGAUGUUCAUGUUAUCACCCAUAUUCAUGCGGUGAAGUGCGCAUUUGAGCUUCAGAAUAGAUGGUCCCAUCGUAAAUCUUGGUGGUAUGCAUAUGUUCGAUGUUCAUCAAAUGCACUCACCCGAUAACAUCUGUCGGAGUCAUAUCCAUGUUUUACAAAGUAACCUAAGAUGAAGAUAUGAAAAUAUCUUUCUAGUGCAGCGUUGCUCAUCAAUUGCUGCUGAAGUGCACUAGAUCAUGGAUUGUCUUUGAACAACAUUGGCCUCAGUAUGAUCUGAAGGUUCAUUCAUCGGUUUAUACUCAAGAAGGUUUUUCUUUGUCAUUGUCAGAUGCUAAACAUAACUUUGACGACUCAUCAUCGAUUCUUUCUUUGCCCCCAGCUGAUCUGGAUACUGUUUGCUUUCCUUCUUAAGGUCCACUGUAUUGCCCCCAGGUGGUCAACGUUUCAAGGAGUGUCGAGAAAUGUUGAUGUCAUUUUUGUCAAGAAUUUUGCAAACUCAAUUGAUGUUCUUUCUUGUUCUGGAAUCAAAUCUCAACAUUUCAACGAUCAUGUCUAUUCAAGUAUAAUUGUUGAAAUGAAAUCAGAGAUAUCAGUUUUUGAAAAGUUAUUUUGAAAUUCAAGCUUCUUUGGUCAAAGACCCAACACACUAUUCAAUGCAGUCCUUUGAUUGUCUUGUAUUUUGAAAACAGAAAUGACCCGUUGUAAGAUUAAAAUGGUUUUUCCAUGGUUCUUUGUGUCCACUUUAAACUCUGAUUUUGGGUAUAUCUUUUGAUGGUCUGGAUGAGGUGACUUUUUAUGAAUUUCAAAAACAAGAUGCUCAGGCUUUAUCAAGAAAGGUUGUUUCUUCUCUUAGCAUUUAUUUUAUCAGCAUGCAUAAUAACCAGUAGCUUAAUUCAUGAAGUCACGACCCUUAUGGAAAAACUCUUCAAGUUUUGAGAUCGCCAUUUAUCGGUUCAAUUGCUUGCUUGAUUAAAAAGGGCUUUUAAAAGCACGUAAUGCAGGCUAUGGUUCAUGGCUAUGAAAGAAAGGAAUUUCAAAGGCUCAAAAGGUGUUUGAGGGUUUCAAAGACCUAGGAUCAACAUCAACUAUUCAUCAACUUUUUCUAUUGUUGUCUUUGUAAGGAAACGACAUAUAACCUUGUUAACCUCAAAGUUCAGACUUUUCUUAACAUAAGUCAUAAUGCAAAUCCACUUUCCUUGAUGAAUAACCAACCUUAAUCAUCUGAUAACAUCGUAGGCUUUAUAAUGGAUACCAAAAGUCACGUUUAUAGCUUAGUCUUUUUUCUGGUAUUGACUUUUGUUGUCUUUCCUUGAUUGAAAUUUCUUUUGCUCUUCAUAGACUUGAUAGGCGUUUCCUUCCUUUAUCUUUGACUUGUAUUUAAGUGAAGGCAAUUUCAACUUCCUCUUCUUCUUUUUUUUCAUAGCCUUCCUCAAAAUUUUCUUAUAUGCCCCCAGUCUAUGUGUUUCUUUUAGCUCUCUCUCAAUCAUUGGACCUUUGUUCUAAGCCUUCCCCUUUAUCCAUUAAUUAUAUCAAUGUCUCCAAAAUAUCUCUCAUUUGCCCCAGUGUGGGGUGUGAUCCUAGUCAGGGUUUCUUUUUUGAAAGAAAAUAUUUUACCAGGCUCAAAAUGGGACUGCAAGGGAUAUAAUUUUAGAAAGUGAAGGGAUAUCAAAGAUGGCCUUUUCUCAUUUCAAGCAAGGUCGGUUAAACCGAUAAAUUUUGACCUCAUCAGUGUAAUGAUUGGACUUGUAAGAAUCAUGAUUCACGAGUCCAUAACUACCGAAUCCACUACAUGUCAUUAUGCAUACUGUUAAAACUUAGCUAUAUGAUGUGUGGUUCAGUUUCAAGGUAUGAGUUCAAAAUUGUUUAGUCACCUCAUGUCAUUUUCAAGCAUCGAGUCAUUUCUGUAAUCAAAACACUUUUAAUCUUCCGAUUGAUUAACCUUUAUCGCAUGUUGGAGUUUGAUCAAAAUAUUUUGUCAAAUAAAAUGUUAAACAUCUGUUGAUUUCAAAACAACAAAGAGACAAAAGCAAGGCAUGUUUCGUUGAAGGAUGAGAUGUGAUCCCAAAACAAAAUGCAGAAUUCCAAAACAAUAUGAUUGACUGUUCAUCACCAUUCUUGAAUCAGCUUUUCUGGCAAUAUUUGCGUUUUGCAAGCACUUUCGAUCAACAUGUCAUUCUGAAGAUGUUCGGGGGCAAUAUAGCCAAUGACACCCUCUUCAACGACUCCACUUGUCUCUUGCUCACCAACUUUCAGACUCUUCUUGAAAUUCUUGAAAUUGUUCAUUGAAAUGGUUGAGGACCCCACCAUGACAUCACAUCUCUUUCUGGAUUAACCACCAGAAAAUGGUGGUUGCAUGGGAUUUGUCGGAGUCAAGCAAAAUUCUGGAAUCUGGCAGAUGCUGGUCGACAAACUUAAUGGCAGAGGAAUGUCCCAUCUUGGCAAAGAUUUGAGCAAUUGAUGCUACCGUGAGACCUGGCUAUACCACAUAAUUAAGGGUUCACACCGUCAAAGUCAUCUCCUGAUUCACCUCUCAUCAUUGUUCUAGAAUCCAUGGCAGAUCCUUCAAUCUUUCUCUCUUCAUAGCUUGUUCAAUUCUUCGGCAAAUCCUCACAACAUUAUUUCAAUCUUCCAAUGUUGCUAUGGUUGGUUGAGGAUUGUUAGAAAACUUUCUAACAGCUUGGUAAUCUUGGCAGCGCCCAAAACUUGUAGUAUCGCCACUACCACACGUGGAAUCACUUACUUUCUUAUGGAGAAAACUGAUGAAAUGAAUCUCCUUAUUUCUUCUUUUUCCUGAACAGUGCAGCAAACAAGCACCAAUAGAGGAAGUCUGCUCUGUUGAAGUUUCAGUCUUCUUCAUGUUUUUCAGUCUAGGCAUGUCUCUUCUCUCUACUUUUGCGUUUUAAUACUGACACUGUUGGAGGAAAAUCAUAGAUGAUCUGAAACUACUGUAUUCCUUCUUGGAUUUCCCACUUGCGGAUCCACAAACAGAUUCCUGCCGAGAGAGCUCUGCUACGUUGAAGUUUGAUGUCUGCUCAUAUUUUUCAGACCAGGUCUGGCUCUUCAACUGCUACAAGUUUCGUGCUGAAACUGAUGAGAGAAAUAUUUGUAGCAUAUGCAACUUAUAAAUCCCCUCUUGCACUCCAAUUUGCAGAGCCAUAAAUGGAUUUUUAUAGAGAGAGCUCUGCCACAUUGAAGUUCAGUGUUCAAUCAUGGUUUUUCAGACCAUCUUGUGCUGCUGAACUGGAAUUGAGCUCGUAAUCGGGGUAACUUCAAAGCAGAUUAAUGCACCAUGUACAGGAGACCGGUAGUUUUUGGUUCCAUUAGAUGAUGUGGAGGCGAUGAACACUUAACAAGUGCAACUGGAAAGAACCAGAGUUGUCAUUAGUUGAUGACUGAAGGCGUUGUUGCUUUUGUUCAUGACGAAAAAGGAGAGAUACACUUCAAUUAGAUGUGAACAAGCAGUGUUCCCACAGAAGACUGUGCAGACAUUCUCUUUCCAUUUGAUGCUCAACACUUGUUCGAGCAGAUCUGAGUCUAGCUACUUCACUUUGAUGCUCUCAACCUUAAUCUGAUAAUGAGCCUCUAUCUGACACCUUUCUUCACUCCAUCAUUUUUCUCAAUCACGUGCAGCACAGCUUGUGUGGGGGACCUACCUUUACCCGGUACAUGCAUGAUAAAUGUAUGAACAUGUAAUCUAUAUGAUGAACUCACCCUUCGAGAGGUGACAAUAUGGUCGUAACUCUUGUAUGAUGGACAAGAAUCGUGAUUUUUGCCCAAACUCUACAAUGAAAAUUUUCGGAGCAACGGCCAAUGUGUCACCCACAAGUCUUGAGUUCAAGAUGCUUCAAGAAGGGUUUGCCCUUAUGCAAAAAACGAUAGCACAUACAACCUAAGGACAGGUUCUAUUCAUUAUGUGAACAUGGGUAGGUUUUCUAUCUGGUCUCAAAAGGGUCUCAUAUCUGCCCAGUGACGUUCUUCGUAAAGACAGUAUGGGGGCGUUGCAAAGAAUGGUUAAGGCACGUAUACCCACCAUUACCAAGCAGGCACUCAGAUAUGAGUUGGGUGUUUCACGCAUCUGAACCCUAAUCAUUAGUCUUAGGGCAGAUCGCUAGUUCCCCACCUAACCUAGAAGCUUGUGUGUGCUUUCAAAAAUAAAUACGGGUGAUGCAUGAGACAAUUCUAUAAAAUGCAUGGAAAUAAAUAUUAACAAAAAAGAUAAAAAUGCAAAAACUUAAACACAUCAAAUACACAAAGCUUAGUCCAAUAAUCGAAAAAAAUAUCGUCCCCAGUGGAGUCGCCAUUCUGUCGCACCCCAAAAAAAAUCAGCGCGCGGCAUCGGCUGGCGAUUUUUAUCGUUGUUGUUGUUUGCUUGAAUUGGUUCGUUGGAGUCGCCACCUAGUAAUUAUUGGGCUACUAGGAAACCGGAUGUACUGGUCUUGUCAGAGAUUCGCGGGUAAGGGACUGGUUGUGGUUAGGGAAGGUAUUAGCACCCCUAACGCACCCUACCUGAGGUAAGCUGCUUCGCGAAUUUGACGUGUUAAAGAAGUUUUAAUAAUUGUCUUUUCAUCGGAAAUUAGAAAUAUCACUUACGUAUAAGUUAAUAAUUCUUAACCGUGAUCCGAUCAAAAUAUUAAAUUCUUCUUUAAUUUUGCAAUUUUAUCAUAAAAAAUAAAAUAAACAUAUAAAACAAAUACAAAACAAAACACACACAUACACUUUCACUAUUUUUUUUUCUUUUCUUCUUUUUUCUUUUCUUUACAUCCAUAUUUACAAAACAAAUAAAAUUCAAAUUAAACAAAUAUUACAUCAAACAAUAAAAAAAAUACAAAACAGUCCCUAAAUAAUCCAAGAAUGACAGGGAAGUCCAUCUGGAACAGCAUGGAGAGUGGCGGCGCGUCCUCCCACGCGCCACCGUCACUGGCGGCGCGUGGGUUCACGCGCCGCCACAGUCACAAACGCAAGGGAUGGGCGGAUCUGGAUGCUUUCCCCCUCUGCACAGGCGGUGACAAACGCUAUCCCCUGCAACCAAAGAAAUAAAAACCCACAAACAAUCUUUCAAUUUUUCCUUUUUUUCGAUCUGUUCUCGGUUUGUUUCCCGAGAGUUCUGAUUCCAUCCUUUGUGACAGAUCUUGUUGUUAGGCGUCUUCGGGGUGAGGGCUGCUGGAUCUCGGCCAGAUCUGUUACACGGGUUUGAGUCGGAGGGAGCCGGUUGAUGACGGGUUUGUUGGUGGCAGGUUCGGUGUGGUGGACGGUCUGGCCCCUGGUCUGGUCCCUGUCCG